GGCGAAAGGGAAUCCGGUUCCUAUUCCGGAACCCGGUUGCGGAACCGCACUCACGAUUCUCGUAUUGACACGGUAACGUGAAUGAGCCCAGAGAUGCCGCCUGGAGCCCCGGGAAGAGUUUUCUUUUCUGCAUGAGCGUUCGGGUUCCAUGGAAUCCUCUCGUAGGGAGAUAUGGAAUGGAACGCGAAGAGCACCGCAGUUGCUGCGGUGUCCGGGGAGUCCCGCCGGCCCUUGAAAAUCUGGGUGAGGGUCACGUGGAGGCGUCGCACCGGUUCGUACCCAUAUCCGCAGCAGUCUCCAAGGUCAAGAGCCUCUGGUCGAUAGACUAAUGUAGGUAAGGGAAGUCA
rnacentral:rRNA from 1 species